AUGAAUGCUGGCGGCGUGUCUAAGGCAUGCAAGUCGAGCGAUUUCGACGGGUUCGCAAGAAUCUGUCGAGGUAGCGGCAAACGGGUGCGUAACACAUUGGCAACCUGCCCCGAAGUCGGGCAUAAUUCGCCGAAAGGCGGACUAAUUCCACGAUGGGCAUGCGGGGACAAAAGUCAUUCGCAUGUAAAGCGCAAAACGCGCUUCGGGAGGGGCCUAUGGCCUAUCAGCUAGUUGGCGGGAUAACAGCCCACCAAGGCUAUGACGGGUAGGGGAUGUGAGAGCAUGAUCCCCCUCACUGGGACUGAGACACUGCCCAGACACCUACGGGUGGCUGCAGUCGAGAAUAUUCCCCAAUGGACGAAAGUCUGAGGGAGCGACGCCGCGUGCAGGACGAAGGCCUUCGGGUCGUAAACUGCUUUUAUCAGGGAAGAAUUUUGACGGUACCUGAAGAAUAAGAGGUUGCUAACUCUGU
rnacentral:rRNA from 1 species